UUAAAAAGCUCGUAGUUGGAUUUCUGUUGAGGGCGCCGUCCGCACUUGUGCAUGUAUCUGGUUCGGCCUGGCUCCUCUGGGGACUUCUGUGCUUAUUGCUGGACGGAUCAGACUUUACUUGAGGAAUAAGUGUCACGCAGCUUCGCUUGAAUACUAGCUGAAUAAUAAUAUAGGGCGUAAGUCUAUUUGUUGGUUUCUAGGACAUACGCAUGAUUAAUAGGGACAUUGGGGGCAUCGUAUAACGCGUCAGAGGCGGAAUUCUUAGAUUGCGUUACGACGAACUACUGCGAAAGCAUUUGCCAAGGAUGUUUUCAUUGAUCAAGAACGAAAGUAUGGGGAUCGAAGACGAUUAGAUACCGUCGUAGUCUAUACCAUAAACUAUGCCAAUUAGAGAUUGGGGGUCGUUCGUUUAUGACUCCUUCA
rnacentral:rRNA from 1 species